GAUUUUUCUUCUUUCAUCCUCGAUUCCUCUUCUCAAAAUCUGAGAUACAGAGAUUGCAUCAAUAGUGGCUCUCUGCUCCAACCGAUUCUCUCUGAGAAUAAAAAAAACCCUUUUUCUCUUCCACACCCAUCCACGAUUUUCUCAUAUGGGUUUCGUUUAAUCGCCAAUGGAACAGAAAUGGUUGGAAAGAUUUCACUUAGAUCCUUCUGAGGAGUGUCGUAAGAGCCCAGCCAAAUACGGUCUCUGAAACACAUUUCCCCCAUUUCCUCUUCCUCACGCCUUUGUACUUUGACUGCAUCAACAACGAAGACCAUGGUCUUCUCACUCGUCAGUUAGCUUUGGUCUGAUUUUGAAUUGGAUAGUAGAAAAGAGUGCGUAUUUGACUUUUUAAACACAGAUAGCUUUGGAUCCUAGAAUCAUAGAAGAAGAUUGCAGUCAAGCGUUUCACAAGAAUGGGUGGCCUGAUUCACGACAGUUCCUGGAGGACGCUAAGUCGGUUGGCCAGCUGCGGGGUGAGAGAAUGGCCUAGUUCCAGUUACCUUUCGAUUUUGCAUAGUAUCAACGUAGAUGAUUCUUGGUGAAAACAGAAAAGCAAAUUGAUUUGAUUACAUGUGAACCGUUGACAGGUUCAGAAGUUUGUGUCAAACGACCCUAAGGACAAAGAGGACGAUUCUGAGGCAACCUAUCCUUUAUUCACAAGUUUAUAUACAAAAGCUGUAUAAACUUAUUUUUUAAUAAUGUAUGUUUACUUUGUAAUACUGAUCUUUUGUAUCAUGGUUUUAUUUAUGAAAACAUAGUUUUUUAAUA